rnacentral:precursor_RNA from 11 species
AACACUUAUCGGAUAUCUUUUUCCGUCAUGUUGAGGAGUUAAUUUGCGUGUUUUUGUAUUUGAUUAAACACGUCCAUUAACUCUGGUACAUGAUGAUAAAAGCGAACAACAGGACCGGAC